rnacentral:rRNA from 1 species
AGUGAUCAAGCAUGGAUAAUAAUCGGGGAUAAGUAUAUCGCCGAAGCUUUGGGAAUAAAAAAUCGGUAGGGGAGCAUUGUAAAUAACGUAGAAGCUAUUUUGUGAAGAAUAGUGGAGUUUUUACAAAAGAAAAUGUAGGCAUAAGUAACGAUAAUGCAGAUGAGAGAUCUGCCCACCAAUAGACUAAGGUUUCCUCAGCAAUGUUAAUCAACUGGGGGUUAGUCGGGACCUAAGAUGAAGUCGAAAGGCGAUAUCGAUGGAUAAGUGGUGAAAAUUCCGCUACUUGCUUUUAUUGUGAUGGGGUGACGAAGAAAUGAAACCGCCGCGUGAAAACGGAAUUGCACGUUGAAGUAAUCGGGUAUAAUAUAUAUAGGAAAAACCGUAUAUGUUGCUCAGUUGCAAGAGUACCGGAUAGUACGGCUAAAGGCUUCCAAGAAAAUCCCCUAAACCUAAGAUAAAAGCACCUCGUACCAUAAUCCGACACAGGUAGUCAAGGAGAAAAUCCUAAGGUGUUUGAGUGAAUCACGGCUAAGGAACUAGGCAAAAUAGACCUGUAACUUAGGGAUAAAGGUCGCCCUUCUAAUUUAAGUUAGAUAGUUAGAAGGCCGCAGUGAAGAGAUCCAGACGACUGUUUAACAAAAACAUAGGGCUCUGCUAAAUCGAAAGAUGACGUAUAGGGCCUGAUACCUGCCCGGCGCUGGAAGGUUAAGGAAGGAAGUUAACUAUUGUGACGCUUUUGACUGAAGCCCCAGCAAACGGCGGCUGUAACUAUAACAGUCCUAAGGUAGCGAAAUUUCUUGUCGGGUAAGUUCCGACCUGCACGAAUGGUGUAACGAUCUGGAUACUGUCUCAGCCGUGCAGC